rnacentral:rRNA from 1 species
UACGUAGGGUGCGAGCGUUAAUCGGAAUUACUGGGCGUAAAGCGUGCGCAGGCGGUUUUGUAAGCCAGAUGUGAAAUCCCCCGGGCUUAACCUGGGAAUGGCAUUUGGGACUGCAAGGCUGGAGUGCGGCAGAGGAGACUGGAAUUCCUGGUGUAGCAGUGAAAUGCGUAGAUAUCAGGAGGAAUACCGAUGGCGAAGGCGGGUCUCUGGGCCGAUACUGACGCUGAGGAGCGAAAGCGUGGGGAGCGAACAGG